UUUCCUUCUUCCCAAUACUAUUCGACAAGUCAUUUGCAAAACAAAUCCUUAUAGGGAAAUAAUGUAAUACGAAAAAGGUAUAUAACAAGUCGGAACUGCCUCUGUAUCAGUGGACAUACCCGCGCCUUCAACGUGUUAGCUACUAGUUUCAGGUGACUAUUGAAAUGGGUCCCGGCUUCAUUAUUCUGUUCAUUCUGGCCGCGUUAGGUCCAGUCGUCGCCGGCGAUUGCAACUCUGCCCCGGAUAUAAACGGAUGUAGUAUUCCAUGGGACCUGCCAUAUUUCUACAAGGACGUUUUCGAACGUGACUGCAAUAGACACGACAUCUGCUAUUCCUGUGGAAAGUCUUAUGGAAUAUCGAGAAGUGCUUGCGACUACCGUUUGUACCGAAAUAUCAAAGCUACAUGUAACACCGAUUCUAGAGUAAGAAACCGACUUUGGUGCAAGAAUGUUACCCUUGACUACUACGCGGCGGUGGCGAUUGGCGGUUGGCGCCAUUAUAAAGAAACGUCCCCGGGUUGGUGCAGCCAAUCCUACGUAUCACGGUGUAUUGCUUAAACAAUUCUGAUUGAGUGAUGAAUAAAAUAGACGUGAACAAAAUUUGUUUGGUUUCGACCAUUAAGCUUUGCAAAAAAAUAUAUAAUACUAUAAUACUGUCAAAGAGGUCAUUCUCAAUUCAUAAUUUAAUAUAAACUAUAGAAUUGUUUUUUUAUAUUAUUGAUUUUUGGACAUGACUGUUUUAUUCUGGAUUCAAAAUAAAAAAUGAGGCAACUGGAA